rnacentral:rRNA from 1 species
UCGAGUGCCAGGUUACAAAUCUGGCUGUCGAGAUGCCUAAAAAGCAUUUCAUAGCAAGGGCCGGGCAAGACCGGUGCCAGCCGCCGCGGUAACACCGGCGGCUCGAGUGGUAACCGUUAUUAUUGGGUCUAAAGGGUCUGUAGCCGGCCGGAUAAGUCUCUUGAGAAAUCUGGCAGCUUAACUGUCAGGCUUUCAGGAGAUACUGUCUGGCUCGAGGCCGGGAGAGGUGAGAGGUACUUCAGGGGUAGGGGUGAAAUCUUGUAAUCCUUGAAGGACCACCAGUGGCGAAGGCGUCUCACCAGAACGGACCUGACGGCAAGGGACGAAAGCUAGGGGCACGAACCGGAUUAGAUACCCGGGUAGUCCUAGCCGUAAACGAUACUCGCUAGGUGUCGGCCACGGUGCGACCGUUGUCGGUGCCGUAGGGAAGCCGUGAAGCGAGCCACCUGGGAAGUACGGCCGCAAGGCUGAAACUUAAAGGAAUUGGCGGGGGAGCAC